GCUAGUUGGUGAGGUAAUGGCUCACCAAGGCGACGAUCUCUAGCUGGUUUGAGAGGAUGAUCAGCCACACUGGGACUGAGACACGGCCCAGACUCCAACGGGAGGCAGCAGUGGGGAAUAUUGCACAAUGGGCGAAGCCUGAUGCAGCCAUGCCGCGUGUGUGAAGAAGGCCUUCGGGUUGUAAAGCACUUUCAGUUGUGAGGAAAGGAGUGUAGUUAAUAGCUGCAUUCUGUGACGUUAACAACAGAAGAAGCACCGGCUAACUUCGUGCCAGCAGCCGCGGUAAUACGAGGGGUGCAAGCGUUAAUCGGAAUUACUGGGCGUAAAGCGUUCGUAGGCGGUCUAUUAAGCAAGAUGUGAAAGCCCAGGGCUCAACCUUGGAACUGCAUUUUGAACUGGUAGACUAGAGUACUGUAGAGGGUGGUGGAAUUUCCAGUGUAGCGGUGAAAUGCGUAGAGAUUGGAAGGAACAUCAGUGGCGAAGGCGGCCACUGGACAGAUACUGACGCUGAGGAACGAAAGCGUGGGGAGCGAACAGGAUUAGAUACCCUGGUAGUCCACGCGUAAACGAUGUCAACUAGCCGUUUGUGGACUUGAGACGUGAGUGGCGCAGCUAACGCACUAAGUUGACCGCCUGGGGAGUACGGCCGCAAGGGUUAAAACUCAAAUGAAUUGACGGGGGCCCGCACAAGCGGUGGAGCAUGUGGUUUAAUUCG
rnacentral:rRNA from 1 species